GGACCCGCACAAGUAGUGGAGCAUGUGGUUUAAUUCGAUGCAACGCGAAGAACCUUACCAAGCCUUGACAUCCUCGGAACUUUCCAGAAAUGGAUUGGUGCCUUCGGGAACCGAGUGACAGGUGCUGCAUGGCUGUCGUCAGCUCGUGUCGUGAGAUGUUGGGUUAAGUCCCGUAACGAGCGCAACCCUUGUCCUUAGUUGCCAGCACUUCGGGUGGGAACUCUAUGGAAACUGCCCGUGAUAAGCGGGAGGAAGGUGUGGAUGACGUCAAGUCCUCAUGGCCCUUACGGGUUGGGCUACACACGUGCUACAAUGGUAGUGACAAUGGGUUAAUCCCAAAAAGCUAUCUCAGUUCGGAUUGUCGUCUGCAACUCGACCCACUGAAGUCGGAAUC
rnacentral:rRNA from 1 species